UAUUAUCAUCAUCAUUUUAGUUAUUUAUCUUUAGAAAAAUUCCACCUUCAAAUAAUUUCCAAAAUUCCAAUUUAUGUAAUUUAAUUUUCAUGAUUUCUAAUUCUUAAAUAAUUUCCAAUUCUAAUUUCUUUCAAAAUUUAAUUUCUAAAGUCCCAAUUUUCAUAAUUUAACUUUCAUAGUUUCUACUUCCCAAAUAAUUUUCAAAAUUAUGUUUUCAUUCGAAUUUAAUCCCUAAAAUUCCAAUUCUUAAAUUUAAUUUCCAAAACUCCAAUUUCCAAAUAAUUUUCGAUACUCCAAUUUUCAAACAAAUUUCAAAAAUCCAGUCUUCACUCGAACAGUUUUAAUUUCAUUCCGGUUUUCAAAUAAUCUCAUGUUCCUCUUGGUUUUAUAUAAGCGUGAAUGUCACUUUCAUAAUUUCAGAAUAAUGGAAUUUGUGAGAUUAAUUCAUGCAAGAUCGAUCGGGCUUUGGUGGGGGCCCUACAUACAUGAUUUUAUGAUUGAUUGAUUUGUUUGUCACGCACGAUUGAUUUAUUCCACUCUAUGACAUGCAUGUGAUUAUUCUGUGUUUAAUUGCUAACAUUCGCUUUCAUUGAAGUAAACCGGUUCAUCACUCAGGUACAUUCUUUGUCUCUCCUAUUCAUUCAGUUAUUUUUGUUUUGAGUGAUAUUCAUUUGGUAUCCAUGCUCGAAUUAUUUCUUAAUUGUGCAUUAACCUCACUUUUUGAUAAGCUUAUUGUGGCUCGUCGCCCAGGUACAUAUCUAUUCCCAUUCUGGUAUUUCUAUAUGCAUGCUUUGAUUCUCACGUGUGCAUGAUUUAUUCUGGGUACUCAUUGAUCUACUCGUCCACUGCCAUGAUUGUUUCAUUUUAUUAGUAG
rnacentral:lncRNA from 1 species